UACGUAGGGAGCAAGCGUUGUCCGGAAUCGAUUGGGCGUAAAGCGCGCGUAGGCGGCCUUGUAAGUCCGUUGUGAAAGUCAAAGGCUCAACCUUUGAAAGCCGAUGGAUACUGUGAGGCUAGAGUCCGGAAGAGGCGAGUGGAAUUCCUGGUGUAGCGGUGGAAUGCGCAGAUAUCAGGAGGAACACCAAUAGCGAAGGCAGCUCGCUGGGACGGUACUGACGCUAAGGCGCGAAAGCGUGGGGAGCGAACAGG
rnacentral:rRNA from 1 species